CCUACGGGAGGCAGCAGUGGGGAAUCUUGCGCAAUGGGCGGAAGCCUGACGCAGCAACGCCGCGUGUGGGAAGACGGCUUUCGGGUUGUAAACCACUUUCAGGGGGGACGAAGCUUCCGAGGUUAAUAGCCUACGGGGUGACGGUACCCCCAGAAGAAGCCCCGGCUAACUACGUGCCAGCAGCCGCGGUAAUACGUAGGGGGCGAGCGUUGUCCGGAAUCAUUGGGCGUAAAGCGCGUGUAGGCGGCUUGAUAAGUCUGGUGUGAAGUCUUGGGGCUUAACCCCAAGCCUGCACUGGAUACUGUCAAGCUUGAGUCCGGGAGGGGAGAGCGGAAUUCCUAGUGUAGCGGUGAAAUGCGCAGAUAUUAGGAAGAACACCGGUGGCGAAGGCGGCUCUCUGGAACGGUACUGACGCUGAGACGCGAAAGCGUGGGGAGCGAACAGGAUUAGAUACCCUGGUAGUCCACGCCGUAAACGAUGGGCACUAGAUGUGGGCGGUGUCGACUCCGUCCGUGUCGAAGCUAACGCAUAGUGCCGCCGUGGAGUACGCGCGAGACGAACGACGAAGAAGUGAGCGNGAGAGUUGCGAGGCGACGACGAGGGAGAGG
rnacentral:rRNA from 1 species